CAAGCCAUAUGGUCCUUCACUGAAAUGGAAAACCCUUGAAGAGAACAAAGGAAAAGGAGAUGAGACCCUGAAAAAUCGCAACGUGAAAACAAAGCGGCUGGACAGCAAGAAGUACAGCGACCUGAUAGUGCUGGGUUUGCCUUGGAACAGCACAGAAGAUGACAUGGUGUCUUACUCCUCAGUCAACAUGGCACAGAUUUUCAUCAGACCCAGUGCGACACACGUGGCGUUGUCACUGGUCUAGAAUACUCGGAGCUACUACCCCCAACCUUACCCUAAGUGCUGCGGUUGUGGUACCAAGAGGCCAUCGUACAGGCUACGAAAGGGCAGUUUUCCAGAAAUAAUGCCCGAACGCAGAAACCAAUCCUCGCCUAAAAGUGCAACACUUAAUGUCACUAGCAACGAGCCCCUGUAGCCACUUUCGUUAAUCGGACGUCCUAGCAGUCUUCGUUUUAAGGACACGGCUUGUCUGCAAAAAAUUAGAGAAUGUGGAAUGGUAAUGAAGAGCGAUAUACUGAAUGUAAGAGGAAUACUGGUACAACCUAAUAAUGUACUCAAGUCUUUUGGAUAUUGAGAAUUUUUGCUGUUCAUGGGUCACAGAUGAGUCGAGUGCAAUUGCAUUUAGUGAGUUUUUUUCACUUAUGACAGUGAAACGUCUUUUGUCAAUAGCUUAAGAGAAAACUGAAGUUCAGGAUGAUCAUUUAUAAUUCCAUAAAUAAUCAAUUGAAUAAGAUGAAAUGUGGUUCUGUAUGAAAAUUAUAAGUCUGCCUCUACAGUGAUUAUAAUAAUUGUUUAAAAAUUUUAUAUUGAAUAUCCAGUUGCUUUAUCCACAUUCUAAAUGCAGAUAGGUUUUCGCUCAAAAAACAUUGGUAUCACCACCACUUAUGGUCGUCUGUGUUUUAUUUCAAUCUUAGUGAUGUAGUCAUUUUUUCAAAUUUGUGCUGUUGAUGAUGUGGAGUUGUUCGUCAGUAUAGCGUUUGAGAAGAUCAUAAUCGCACACUAAUCUCAACUAACCCUCACAUCUUUGUAAAAUCCAACUUCAUGUAAAUGCUUUUACAUGAAGAGGUUUUACAUUGAUAGGUUGUGCAAAAUCUAUAAUGAAAUAUUUUACGUUUGAGAAAAUAUUUCAUUAUAUUUUUUGUACAGUCUGCUCCUCAUGAGGGAUGGCUGGAUGCGUUCAGGCAUCUCUCAAGAUAGGGGAGUGCACAUUACUAAUAUCACUUAUAUUAUGAUUUUCUCAAGGGUUAUAGUUGACAAAUAAAUCCAAAUCAUCACAUAUGCACCCUUUUC
rnacentral:lncRNA from 1 species